GAGGGAGUCGGACCAAGCUAGAAUCUUUACAUGUGGCUAAUUUCACCCGGAAACUGUUCAGAUUAUUAUGGCAGCGUUUGGACUUUCCUUUAGGAUCAUAAAGCCUAGUUACGAGUUUUCGACUGACGGCUACCGAAUCUUCUAUAUCUAAUAAAGAUAUCUGGGACAAGUCAUUGAAAUGAACAGGCGUUUCUUUUAGUGCCUUUAGCAUGGAUUUCUUGCCUAUGCCAAAUAAAGACGAUGUAGUAUCACAUCCUGUAAUAGCGUGUGCAGCUGGUAGGAUUUUAC
rnacentral:lncRNA from 1 species